rnacentral:rRNA from 1 species
AUUGAACGCUGGCGGCAGGUCUAACACAUGCAAGUCGGACGGUAGCACAGAGGAGCUUGCUCCUCGGGUGACGAGUGGCGGACGGGUGAGUAAUGUCUGGGGAUCUGCCCGAUAGAGGGGGAUAACCACUGGAAACGGUGGCUAAUACCGCAUAACGUCGCAAGACCAAAGAGGGGGACCUUCGGGCCUCUCACUAUCGGAUGAACCCAGAUGGGAUUAGCUAGUAGGCGGGGUAAUGGCCCACCUAGGCGACGAUCCCUAGCUGGUCUGAGAGGAUGACCCGCCACACUGGAACUGAGACACGGUCCAGGCUCCUACGGGAGGCCGCGGUGGGGAAUAUUGCACAAUGGGCGCAAGCCUGCUGCAGCCAUGCCGCGUGUAUGAAGAAGGCCUUCGGGUUGUAAAGUACUUUCAGCGGGGAGGAAGGCGAUGUGGUUAAUAACCUUGUCGAUUGACGUUACCCGCAGAAGAAGCACCGGCUAACUCCGUGCCAGCCGCCGCCGUAA